rnacentral:rRNA from 1 species
GACGAACGCUGGCGGCGUGCUUAACACAUGCAAGUCGAACGGAAAGGCCCUGCUUUUGUGGGGUGCUCGAGUGGCGAACGGGUGAGUAACACGUGAGUAACCUGCCCUUGACUUUGGGAUAACUUCAGGAAACUGGGGCUAAUACCGGAUAGGAGCUCCUGCUGCAUGGUGGGGGUUGGAAAGUUUCGGCGGUUGGGGAUGGACUCGCGGCUUAUCAGCUUGUUGGUGGGGUAGUGGCUUACCAAGGCUUUGACGGGUAGCCGGCCUGAGAGGGUGACCGGCCACAGUGGGACUGAGAUAGGGCCCAGACUGCUACGGGAGGCAGCAGUGGGGAAUAGUGCGCAAUGGGCGGAAGCCUGAUGCAGCGACGCCGCGUGCGGGAUGACGGCUGUCGGGUUGUAAACCGCUUUCGCCUGUGACGAAGAGUGAGUGACGGUAAUGGGUAAAGAAGCACCGGCUAACUACGUG